rnacentral:lncRNA from 1 species
GUUAAAGUGAUCAAACCACAGAGAGCAAAACGGAAGUUUACUCUUAUGUCAAAUGAAUGCAACUAAUCGAUCCACAACUGUGCAACUGUAUAUAACAAUAAAAUGUUUAUUUUAAUUAUAUCUAUUAUGAAGAAUUUCGUCAAUAUUCUGAAAGUAUAAAAAAAUUGACGGUGUUUUUUUUUACAUAAUUUAGUGUAUCAUAUUUAAGUCUUUUAGCAACGGUAAGGUUGUUGUCAUGUGACCUAUAGAUCACGUGUUUGAGUCGUGAAAACAAGUUGCUUUGUUAUUCACAUUUUUUUUUAAACAAGUUGCUUUGUUAUUCACAUUUUAGCUUUUUAAACAAGUUGCUUUGUGGUAAUAUUUUUACAGUUAAAUACUGAUUUUAACCUAAAAAAGAGUUGGAAAUUGUACACUAUUAGGUGCAGUUAAAAGUAUAUUUUGAAUACUGUCGGUACUCUAUGUUGCGUUAUGUAUCUAUGAAAAUGGACAAUCUAGUUCCUUUUACGGGUAUAAACUAUUAGUUUCGUGUCGUGAACCUAUAAAUUAUUUUUAGUUUUUUAUACAGUUAAAUAAUCGCAAAUAGGCCUGCCUGAUAAUGUUUAAAGAUUUUACCUUUUCUUAUUUCAUUGUCACUUCACUUCACUUGGUGAUUACAUAGACCGCAUAUAAGAUACCCGGGAUCCACCCGAACAAGGUUAGAAGCACACAAAUCCAGAACUCCACCUACAAUUCAUUCAAAGCCAACGUUAUAUUAUUUAUUAUACGGAUACUCAGUUCAGUAUCCUCACCUUUUUUUAAGUUUGUAUAUUAAAAAUUUCUUAGAUAUUUUAGUAUAACUGGAAUUGAUAUGGUGACCAAAAUGAAUUAUAAUACACAUCGAACAAGUUAGGAGGUGCGGGAGUGCACGCUUGUUCGAGUUGUUAUAAUUCUGGGUGUUCGGGCGAUGCCCCGAACAGUGGCGAAGCUUGAAAAUUUCCAACGGGGGUCGGAAGUCACCGGAACUAAAAAUUCUAUAUAAGUAAAUUUUUUUUAUAAAACCGAGGGGGGGGGGGUCGAAAACGUAUAUACCUAAAAAAUUAUAUGCGAAACGUAUGUACAUAACACUACUGAGCGAAAAGCUCGGGGGGUCGGGCGCCCCCCAGCCCCUUGAAAGCUACGCCAAUGGCCCCAAAUGGGGGUUCCAAGGGGCGGGGGUCCGGGGACAACACCCCUGGGAGCAAGGUCCAAAGGGUUAGCAGCCCCUGGCGGGGUUCAAGAGACAGAGCCCUUGGCUGGGUCAAAUUAGAAAAUUAACAUUAAUUUCUAGAUUAAAAAAAAAUGGCUCUAAAAGAAGCAAUUUGAAUUAAAAUAGAGAUAACUGCCUCAUGGCCGUUACCAAACCCUAAUCUCGUAAUUCAAAAUCGCUGUUUUUGGUUACGUUCUCUCUGGUUCAUACGAAUUUUUAAUACACAUACUAGUUUUUGUUCUCGAAUUCUGAGUUGUAUCCGAUUGAAUUAUUCGGGAGAAAUAUCAAAAUAAUUUGAUCUGAAAAUGAUCACACGCCUCUCUGAUUAUCGCUAUUUACAAAAUAUCCCCAACGAAGACGAAUGUAAAUAAGACUCCGGUUUCCAUCGAUAGUUAUUAGAAGUGCAUAGACAUGUUAAAAGAUAUACAAAAUUGUUUGAUUUCUUUUAGGGUUUCCCUAACUUUUAUAUAUAUAUAUAGGGUACGGUUCUAGAGUGAACACUAGUGUAUUUGUGAACUGAGUGAACAAAUCUUGACCAUUGAUCUACACACGUGUAUGGCCAGGAUCUCAUCAUCAAAUCGUAAAAUACACUAGUGUAUUUCAACAUCAAAUCCUGGCCAUUGAUCUACACACGUGUAUGACCAGGAUUUGUUCACUCAGUUCGCAAGCUACACUAGUUACUCAAAAUUAGUUUUGUAUCAAAUGCAUUUGUAAGCCGGUUAGUAGGGUUGUGCAAAAACAUUAGAAUAGCCCGAAAUUCCAAACUCAAAAAAAAAAAAAAAAAAAAAAAAUCCAAAACUUUGGAUAUAUGAAAUUUUGGAUUCAGAUAGUAACUAAAAGAAAUCAUAUAUCCAAAUGUCUGAUAUCUUUUAAUUAAUUAAUUAAUUAAUUUUAAAUUAUAUUUAUUACUUAUUAUUUAUAAACUUCAUCUAUUCUUUUGGCGUUUUGAAAUUUCUGAGACUUUUUUAGUGUUUAAAUGAUAUUGAAUUCGGAUAUCCAUUUCACUAUCCGAAUGAAAUUUCGGAUAUUGGAUAGUGAAACAACCGUUGAAAAAUUCGGAUACAUGAGUUUUAACGGCUUAUAA